UGUUAAUCUAAUUUCGAUUCUAACAUUAAAAUUUUUUCAUUUGAAAUAUGCGAGGAAAUAUCAUUAUAUAUAUAUAUAUUAGAAAUCGAAUAGCCCAAGAGUUAAGUGCAGAUAAUUUCGAUGAAUACUUAAUACAACACUCUGCAAAAAUAUAAUUUGAUUUCAGUGGUAUUUUUUCAAUUCUAAUGAAAAAAUUGGAUAGAUUAAAAAGGCAGACAUUAAACCUUAGUUGAUAUACUAAGUCCAGCAUCAUGGCGGCCGGAUGGCCGCAUGGUAACAUGUUGGCGUGCCACAUGGGAGGAUCGGAGCCCGGCGUUUCCUGAUGGGUUUUUUUUCGGGGUUCCGAACCGGAGCCGGAAAAAAUUUAUCGGGAGAUGCCGGACUUGGAUCCUCCUACGUGGCACGUUCAACAAAAAAACCUCGAAAAAACUUCAGGAACGAUCCCCGCCCUUCACCAUCCGGUCCUCCUCCACAAAUGUGGUGCAGCCCAUAGUUGGAACUGACCGCGCUGUUUAGUAUUCUCACUGAUUGGAAAGGGACGUAAAACAGCAAAAUUAAAAGAAAUCCGGUAUCACAGCUCAUGCGUAUGAUAUUGUUUUCAUUGUAGGCACAUCGUAAAAUUCAGAUAUGUGAUCAGAUCAUUAUCUAUUUAUACCUGACGACAGCAUCGAAGGCAGUAUUAAGUAUAUGGAUCCUAUAGGAUUACUAUACUCUCCCAUAGACUCAAUAUUGCCGAUCUCCAAAUU
rnacentral:lncRNA from 1 species